UUAUUUGCUUUCUUGUUUUAUUUUAUUUUCUUACUUAUUUGUUUAGCUUAUUCGAAACUAUUAGUCUAUUGUGUGAUUCGAGAGUUUUGUGGAAUUCGACCCUAAUGUACUACAAUCGAUCUCUUAUUUGAGAGAGUGGUCUUAUAAUUAAUUAGACCUUCAUUUCCAAUACGUUAGCCACGAGAGCAUAACUGAGGAAGUCGUGGAGAAUCUUAGGAUGAGAUUUGUUGUCGACAUCUAUCAGGAGUUUGUUCAGGCUCUCCGUGUUUGAUGCCCAUUUCAAUAUUUUUGUUUAAGAAUUUAUGUCUUUUGU
rnacentral:sRNA from 1 species